UGUGAUUUGGAAUGCACCCUUUGGCACUUCUUCUCCUCACUUAUCUCACUUCCUUUACCUCACUUCCUUUCCUCCCCUUUCCUCAGCACUGUUCGGUUCCUUUCACUCUUUGUUCACUGCUCAUUAUUCAUUGCUUAUUGGUACCACCUGUUCACUCCCUAUUUAAGCCCUGCACACCUUUCACUCACUCUUUCCUGAUGGUCACAUGGGGCGGCGGUGCUGAUUUACAACCCCAAGUGUUUUCUCCCCCUUUGUGUUUAUUUGCAGUUUGACUUUGGGAAAUAAACCAUUCUCAUGGCUGAUACUUCCUGACUGAUGCUCAUGAUGGUACACUUUCUUCUUCUGAACCUCCUUAACAAACACAAAUUAACAGAACAAUGAGUAUUAAUUACCUUGAGACCAACUGAUGCCUCAAAUCAUCUCGUCCAUAAGACUGUUGGGAGUACGGGCCGUCCUAGAAAAGGGGGGAAAAAAAAGCAAUUACAAAAACCUUAAGGUUCCCUGUGGAGUUUCAUUGUUUUGCCUUGUUUGUCUUCUGAGUGCAAUGUACACGCAUUUCAGAACCGGCGACACAUGCAAAUGGUUCCACUGAUCAACACGUGUUAAUGUGCAAAGAUGAUAUGCUGCAACACACCAGCAAAGACAAUGAAGUUUGUGAAGUAAAAAGUUUUAACUGGAAAAUCUUACAAAUUAUUGAUGGAAACAACAAAAGCUCCCAUGAACCCACUUUAAUGUAUUUGCUAUUCUGUUUUUGACAUUUAGUUUGGAGUCAAACAUUAGGAUAUUGUUCCUUGUUCUGACUUAAUCAUCUAAAAAUUAAAAAAUAAACCUACA